rnacentral:rRNA from 1 species
GACGAACGCUGGCGGCGUGCCUAAUACAUGCAAGUCGAACGAACCGCGACUGAGUGCUUGCACUUGGUCAAGGUGAGUGGCGAACGGGUGAGUAACACGUGGGUAACCUACCUCAUAGUGGGGGAUAACAGUCGGAAACGACUGCUAAUACCGCAUAGGACAUAGGAUCACAUGAUCCAGUGAGGAAAGGUGGCGCAAGCUAUCGCUACGAGAUGGACCCGCGGUGCAUUAGCUAGUUGGUAGGGUAAAGGCCUACCAAGGCGAUGAUGCAUAGCCGACCCGAGAGGGUGAACCGCCACAUUGGGACUGAGACACGGCCCAAACUCCUACGGGAGGCAGCAGUAGGGAAUUUUCCGCAAUGGGCGCAAGUCUGAUGGAGCAACGCCGCGUGAGUGAAGAAGGUCUUCGGAUCGUAAAGCUCUUUUGUUAGGGAAGAACAGCGCAUAGAGUAACUGCUAUGCGUGUGACGGUACCGAACCAGAAAGCCACGGCUAACUACGUG